rnacentral:piRNA from 1 species
UACUCUUAAUCAGGGUUGCACCUCUCCUC